UAGAUUGAAGCCAGGUUUAGGGUAUUUAGCUGUUAACUAAAUUUCGUGGGUUUAAUUCCUACCAAUCUAG
rnacentral:tRNA from 1 species